CGGGCCUCCGAUUUAUGUGCACAUGUAAUUUGUUUGGUCGCUCGGUGGGAAGGUCAACCGCAACGAAAACUAAGCAAGUGGCUGCCACUUUCGAUAAAAGUUUCACUCGCGAUCGCGCGCUGCGUAAUUGAUAUUUAAAUGCAUAAAUAUGUACAUUCAUUAUUCCGGAUGCAUAGGUUACUAGUGUCAAAGCUGGAGGUGUUGGUUAUUGGGCAUUGAGUCUUUUGCGUCUCUGCCUUCGGCAUUCUAAGACGAGGAGAAAUCGCUGAGACUGAGAGUUGAACUUACAUAACACCGGAUCAGUAAGUUGGCCAAAAAACAUGAAACUCGUCUGGAUUACGGAAAAGGCAAUGAAAGUAAAAUACCGAAAAAGCACACACAUUCAUACCUGUGCAAGGGCAAAGAGAUACAAGAGAAGCGACAACAACAAACGCCGGAGAAAGACAAGUCUCCAGGGGAGAAAGAAAUUGCUGCGCGAAAUAUAGUCGCCAAGGAUGGGAUGGGCCCACCACAGACUGGACAGCGUAAAAAAAAAGUAACCAAACACAAAGCAGGAAGAAGCAAAAAGUCUUGCAUGACGAGAUUGAUUGCGUUCAUAAAUACAAAUUAUGAAAUUGAAA